rnacentral:misc_RNA from 1 species
GGGGUAUAAACCGUGUUUAGAUUUCAGCGAAGAAUAUAAAAAAUCAACCACUGGAAUCGUUAGUGAGAGGACUAAGUAUUUGAUGGUGGUAGUUUCUGGUGGGAUGAAUCAACAGAGAAAUCAGAUCGUCGAUGCUGUUGUGAUUGCUAGAAUUCUCGGGGCUGCUUUGGUUGUUCCAAUCUUGCAAGUGAAUGUCAUCUGGGGAGAUGAAAGUGAGUUUUCUGAUAUAUUUGAUUUGGAG